rnacentral:rRNA from 1 species
AUUGAACGCUUGCGGCAGGCUUCACACAUGCAAGUCGGACGAUUGUCGGACGGGUCAGUAAUGCCUUGGAAACUGCCUGAUGGAGGGGGAUAACUACUGGAAACGGUCGCUUAUACCGCAUACCAUCCGAUGUGCCCAGAUGGGCUUAGCUAGUAGGUUGGGUAACGGCUCACCUAGGCGACGCUACCUUGCUAGUCUGAGAGGAUGACCAGCCACACUGGAACUGAGUGGCGGUCCAGACGAAAACGGUAGGAAGCAGUGGGGAAUAUUGAACGAUGGGCGCAGUCCUGAUGCAGCCAUGCCGCGUACAUGAAGAAGGCCUGCAGGUUGUGAAGUACCUUCAGCGGGGAGGCGUUCCCCGCAGUAGAAGCACCAGCUCACUCCGUGCCAGCAGCCGCGGUAAUUC